rnacentral:rRNA from 1 species
CCCUUAGACGUUCUGGGCCGCACGCGCGCUACACUGACCAGUGCAACAAGCAUCCGUCCUUGGCCGACAGGCCCGGGCAAUCUUUGAACGCUGGUCGUGAUGGGGAUAGACUUUUGCAAUUUUUGGUCUUCAACGAGGAAUCCCUAGUAAACGCAAGUCAUCAACUUGCAUUGAUUACGUCCCUGCCCUUUGUACACACCGCCCGUCGCACCUACCGAUUGAAUGGUCCGGUGAAGCCUCCGGAUUGGCGCGCACCUCGGUGCCGCCGAGAAGUUGGCUAAACCUUACCAUUUAGAGGAAGGUGAAGUCGUAACA